GUGCAGGAUCCAUGGUGAGAUGACAAAAGAGGAAACACACUACAUGGAGAGAAGUACAAAUAAAGUAUUUCUGAACAAUAAAGGACAGAGUAAGAUAAUGAAUACCUGGAAUUACAUAUUAUUACUAGUUAGUAGAUCUCUUCUGUCAUCAUUAUUUACCCAUACACCAGUGGUGCAAAUUGACGUGUUUCCUCAUAUGAAAAUGAAAGUAACUGUGGUUACAAAAUGUAGCGCACAUUUCUCUGCAACAUUAGAAGCAGGAUAAAUGUGUUGAUUUGAAGGACAGACGUACAGACUCUGGAUCCAUUUUGAGAUGACAGAGCAGAAAACACUAUAUGGACAAUACUGACAAAUAAAGGGAAGCCUGGGCAACUGAAAUGUCUGAGCUUUUUCAACAGUGUAACUAUGAACAUCUGUACCAAAACCAAAUGAAGGGAGACAUAGAUAUGAUUAAAAAACAACUGUUGAUCCAACAUGAAAAUAAAAUGGGUGGAGGAGAUGAAUCAUAAACCCAAAUUGAGAACAUUUAGUUUGAUUCAGGGUGAAUUGGUGUGUGAGAGAUAUAUUAUGUAUAACAGGUAAGAUCAGGGAUAUUGUCUCUGCGUAUUGAAACAGGUAAGAUCAGGGAUAUUGUCUCUGUGUAUUGAAACAGGUAAGAUCAGGGAUAUUGUCUCUGAGUAUUGAAACAGGUCAGAUCAGGGAUAUUGCCUCUGCGUAUUGAAACAGGUAAGAUCAGGGAUAUUGUCUCUGAGUAUUGAAACAGGUUAGAUCAGGGAUAUUUCCUCUGCGUAUUGAAACAGGCCAGAUCAGGGAUAUUGUCUCUGAGUAUUGAAACAGGUCAGUAUUGUGGUGAAAUGGAAGAGGAAAGACUAUGUAACUAUUGUGACUUCAACGAAAUAGAGAAUGAAACUGAUUUAAUCCUCUAUUUCCUUUUCUACCACGAUAUACGCUUGCUCUUAUUCCAGAAAGACCACCAGAUAUACCCUGGCAGUAUGUGGCUGAGUGAUGAGGUGAAAUUGAAAUGUUUUUUUGUCCAUUGUGUAUUUCCGUUUGUGGAAUAUUUAGAUAAAUCCUGGAAUAUAAGAAAAAUGUUUACCUAUAAUUAAAUUGUAAAAAUAUUUAGCUUUUACGUGGUAAAUGGUAUGUGUGUAUAUAGAUUGUGUAUAGACUUGUCUCCCAUAUGAAUCUUCUAUGUGGUAAAUGGUAUGUGUGUAUAUAGAUUGUGUAUAGACUUGUCUCCCAUAUGAAUCUUCUCUUUGUGUCAGACUGGGUUCAAAUUCCUUCUGUUUAUUUUUUUCUGUAUUUAUUUAUCUGUAUAUGUUAUGUAUGUAUAUAUAUACAGUAUGUAUAUAUGUAUGUAUGUGCAUAUAUUUACAUUUAAGUCAUUUAGCAGACGCUCUUAUCCAGAGCGACUUACAAAUUGGUGCAUUCACCUUAUGAUAUCCAGUGGAAC